AUUUUCUUAGUAUAAAAAGUACAGAUGGCUUCCAACCAUCUAGCCCUGGUUUAAAUCCGGGAGAAAAUA
rnacentral:tRNA from 1 species